rnacentral:rRNA from 1 species
UACGUAGGGUGCAAGCGUUGUCCGGAAUUAUUGGGCGUAAAGAGCUCGUAGGCGGUUUGUCGCGUCGAAUGUGAAAACCCGGGGCUCAACCCCGGGCCUGCAUUCGAUACGGGCAGACUAGAGUUCGGUAGGGGAGUCUGGAAUUCCUGGUGUAGCGGUGAAAUGCGCAGAUAUCAGGAGGAACGCCGGUGGCGAAGGCGGGUCUCUGGGCCGAUACUGACGCUGAGGAGCGAAAGCGUGGGGAGCGAACAGG